ACUCGAAAGGUGCGGAGGGGGGACCUUUGCCGGUCCUUCGAAACCCUUUUUACUUUGUCCACACCUCUGUGCACCCCGUUCGCGCGAGGUUCUUCGGAACCCUGUGUGAUGCUUAUCUCGAACUCGUAUGUCUACAGAAUGUGACCUAGUGUGUUGGAAAUGG
rnacentral:misc_RNA from 1 species